CCUACGGGAGGCAGCAGUAGGGAAUUUUCCACAAUGGGCGAAAGCCUGAUGGAGCAAUACCGCGUGCAGGAUGAAGGCCUUCGGGUCGUAAACUGCUUUUAUGUGCGAAGAAUUUGACGGUAACACAUGAAUAAGGAUCGGCUAACUACGUGCCAGCAGCCGCGGUCAUACGUAGGAUCCAAGCGUUAUCCGGAAUUACUGGGCGUAAAGAGUUGCGUAGGUGGCAUUAUAAGUGGAGCGUGAAAGCGUGCGGCUCAACCGCAUUAUUGCGUUCCAAACUGUGAAGCUUGAGUAUGGGAGAGGUAGAUGGAAUUUCUAGUGUAGGAGUGAAAUCCGUAGAUAUUAGAAGGAACACCGAUGGCGUAGGCAGUCUACUGGCCCAUUACUGACACUAAGGCACGAAAGCGUGGGGAGCAAACGGGAUUAGAUACCCCGGUAGUCCACGCUGUAAACUAUGGAUGCUAGCUGUGACACACAUCGACCUGUGUCGUAGCGAAGUUAACGCGUUAAGCAUCCCGCCUGGGGGAGGACGGUCGCGAGAAGUAAACUAACGUUAAAGAAAGUAGUUAGGACGUGAGACGNGCGACGGACGACGACGAGGGAGGAGG
rnacentral:rRNA from 1 species